CCUACGGGUGGCAGCAGUGGGGAAUAUUGGACAAUGGGGGCAAGCCUGAUCCAGCGACGCCGCGUGAGUGAAGAAGUAUUUCGGUUUGUAAAGUUCUUUUAGCAGGGACGAAAAUGAUGGCAGUAGCUGAAGAAUCAGCGGCGAAAUACGAGCUAGCAGCCGCGGUAAAACGUAGGGGGUAAGCGUUAUCCGGCUUAACUGGGUGGAGAGGGGGCGUAGGCGGCAUUGCAAGUCAGAUGUGAAAGAUACGGGCUCAACAUCAGGCCUGCAUUUGAAACUGUAGGGCUGGAGUACUGGAGAGGUAGACGGAAUUCCUAGUGUAGCGGUGAAAUGCGUAGAUAUUAGGAGGAACACCAGUGGCGAAGGCGGUCUGCUGGACAGUAACUGACGUUGAGGCGCGAAAGCGUGGGGAGCAAACAGGAUUAGAUACCCCAGUAGUC
rnacentral:rRNA from 1 species